GAAAUGCGAUAAGUAGUGUGAAUUGCAGAAUUCAGUGAAUCAUCGAAUCUUUGAACGCACAUUGCGCCCCCUGGUAUUCCGGGGGGCAUGCCUGUUCGAGCGUCAUUUCACCACUCAAGCCUCGCUUGGUAUUGGGCGACGCGGUCCGCCGCGCGCCUCAAAUCGACCGGCUGGGUCUUUCGUCCCCUCAGCGUUGUGGAAACUAUUCGCUAAAGGGUGCCGCGGGAGGCCACGCCGUAAAACAACCCCAUUUCUAAGGUUGACCUCGGAUCAGGUAGGGAUACCCGCUGAACUUAAGC
rnacentral:misc_RNA from 1 species